CCUACCAUUGAGUGGCAGUGAGAUCACUUUCUGCCACUCUUGCUCCAAGGACUGUGUUCCCUGCACAGCUUCUGCUGAGCAAAAAUGUGAAUUGUAGGACCCAGAACUAUGGCAUUGCUUGGGAAGGAAGCUGAGUUUCAGAGGGAUGGGAGAGGAGAGGUACAGAGCUUGGCAGAUAUGAAAAUGCAGAAAGCUCCAGGAAGAGAGACCGAAGAUUUCUCAGUCUAGCAAAUAUAUGCUGAGUUAUGUGUCCCAGUGCUAGACACUGAGUUCAGUGAUGUGCAAUAAAGGCAGCCUAAAAGGU
rnacentral:lncRNA from 10 species